UGGGGAAUAUUGGACAAUGGGCGCAAGCCUGAUCCAGCCAUGCCGCGUGAGUGAUGAAGGCCCUAGGGUUGUAAAGCUCUUUCACCGGUGAAGAUAAUGACGGUAACCGGAGAAGAAGCCCCGGCUAACUUCGUGCCAGCAGCCGCGGUAAUACGAAGGGGGCUAGCGUUGUUCGGAUUUACUGGGCGUAAAGCGCACGUAGGCGGACUAUUAAGUCAGGGGUGAAAUCCCGGGGCUCAACCCCGGAACUGCCUUUGAUACUGGUAGUCUUGAGUUCGAGAGAGGUGAGUGGAAUUCCGAGUGUAGAGGUGAAAUUCGUAGAUAUUCGGAGGAACGCCAGUGGCGAAGGGGGCUCACUGGCUCGAUACUGACGCUGAGGUGCGAAAGCGUGGGGAGCAAACAGG
rnacentral:rRNA from 1 species